rnacentral:rRNA from 1 species
GACGAACGCUGGCGGCGUGCUUAACACAUGCAAGUCGAACGGAAAGGCCCUGCUUUUGUGGGGUGCUGGAGUGGCGAACGGGUGAGUAACACGUGAGUAACCUGCCCUUGACUUUGGGAUAACUUCAGGAAACUGGGGCUAAUACCGGAUAGGGGCUCCUGCUGCAUGGUGGGGGUUGGAAAGUUUCGGCGGUUGGGGAUGGACUCGCGGCUUAUCAGCUUGUUGGUGGGGUAGUGGCUUACCAAGGCUUUGACGGGUAGCCGGCCUGAGAGGGUGACCGGCCACAUUGGGACUGAGAUACGGCCCAGACUCCUACGGGAGGCAGCAGUGGGGAAUAUUGCACAAUGGGCGGAAGCCUGAUGCAGCAACGCCGCGUGCGGGAUGACGGCCUUCGGGUUGUAAACCGCUUUCGCCUGUGACGAAGCGUGAGUGACGGUAAUGGGUAAAGAAGCACCGGCUAACUACGUG